UAUCUCUGUAGAGUCUGCAUAUCAAUAAGCGGAGGAAAAGAAACUAACUAGGAUUCCCUUAAGUAACGGCGAGUGAAGCGGGAAGAGCUCAAAUUUGAAAUCUUAAAGGGUUCUACCUUGACGAAUUGUAGUUUAAAGAAGUGUUUUCUGUUGGAGUUUUGGUAAAAGUUCUUUGGAAUAGGACAUCAUAGAGGGUGAGAAUCCCGUAUUUGACCAUUAUCUUCCAACUGUGUGAUACACUUUCAAAGAGUCGGAUUGUUUGGGAAUGCAGUCCAAAAUGGGUGGUAAAUUUCAUCUAAAGCUAAAUAUUGGCGAGAGACCGAUAGCGAACAAGUACCGUGAGGGAAAGAUGAAAAGAACUUUGAAAAGAGAGUUAAACAGUACGUGAAAUUGUCAAAAGGGAAGCGUUUGACACCAGUGUUGUUUUCUCGAAAAUCAAUUAAAAAUGACCGGAUUUUGUGUUGUAUUGACUUUAUCAGCUUUCUGCACUUUUUUCUUGUCUUUUUUAAUGCACUUUUCGUUUAACAAGUCAACAUCAAUUUCUUUUGUUGUAAAAGAGUCAUUGGAAGGUGGCUUUCACUUCGGUGAAAGUGUUUAUAGCCUUUGACUUCUGCAAUCGGAGAGAUUGAGGUCUGCAGCGUAGAUCCUUCGGGGUUAGAUACAUUUGUGCUAAGUUAUAGUUUUUCAUAGACAACAUGUUGACUAUGAUUAAUCAUGUAGCUUACUCGCUUAUGCUAUUUUACCUACGCUUAGGAUGUUGAACGCGCACAGAGUCUC
rnacentral:rRNA from 1 species